rnacentral:misc_RNA from 1 species
AAGGAUAAGGAAGAAGCCUGAGAAGGUUUCUGACUAGGUUGGGCAAGCGUUUAUAUGUAAGAGCAAGCAUUCUAUUUCAUUUGUGUUGUUAAGAGUAGCGCGGUGAGGACGAGACAUAUAGUUUGUGAUCAAGUAUGUUAUUGUAAAGAAAUAAUCAUGGUAACAAGUAUAUUUCACGCAUAAUAAUAGACGUUUAAGAGUAUUUGUCUUUUAGGUGAAGUGCUUGCAUGGAUCUAUAGAAAU